rnacentral:lncRNA from 10 species
UCUAGGCCGGGAAUGUUAACCAGUCAAAUGAAGAGUCUGCUGUGGGUGGGGAGGGUGCAGACAGAUUCCCUGCCCUGGGCCCACCUGCUGGAGGAGGACAUGACCAUAGCCUUACAGUGGGACCCGGAAGAUGCUGGUGACUGAAAGUCUGUCUGCGGUUAUUGGCAAGAGUGACUGGAAACUGUGAAACACUAAAAACACCAGCAUCUGGUGUUUGCAGAGCAUUUUCCUUUGACGAAGAAAGAAAAACCGUCUUUUUAGCAGACACCCCACCGUCCCCGGUCCCUGCUGUCUGUGUCUGUGGAUCUGCCUCUUCUGGGUAUUUCAUAAAAGCGGAAUCAAAACA